CAAGAAAACAAUCCCACAGAGCUCUGUGUGUAUGCUAGCGUGGCUGUGUGUGCCCCGUCUACAGGUGCCUGUGAGGGUGUUAAGCGUCAUCCUUCUUGUCAUCUGCAGGCAUGGGGCAGGGUAAUGGAGAAGCCUAUGCCCAGUGCUUCGGACGGCAUAGCAGGUGGCUGAAAGAGGGUCGUGCGAGGCUGGGUCUUUGACUGGGGUGACUAAGGAGUGAGUCUUCAGGGCCUGGGGGCCCCAGGGCAGGCGGUUGGGGGGUUUUAGGGGAAGGGUUGAUCGAGUGCAGAAAGAGGCCACGCCACUCACCCACUCCGCUUCCUGUGGGGUAUCUGUGCCUCUGUUCAUGAGCGGAUCUCUGGAUUCAUAAACUCACACAAACGCAUGCACACGUGUAGCACAUAUGUUCUUUGGGACCUGAAGGAAGUUUUUUUUUAACUGAGUGUGUUGUUUCUCUAGAGCUCACGGUUGUGAAAAUGCAGCUGUGUAAAUCCACAUCGAACCGAAAAAACAACAGGCCGUGUUGAUCCAAAACAAGGCAUUGAGUUGAGCGCGUCUGAUUUGUAAAGAGUCUGAUUGUGAAAUGAGUCUGGAUGUCAGGUACAGAAGAUCUGUAAGCUAUUAUUAUGGAAGAGUCUGGGUCUCUGGGUGGGUCACAGGGAGGCAGUGAAGUUUGGCAGGUGUCACAAAACAAAAGCUGAACCUGACCUUUUGUGUGUUCUUUCAGAAGAUGAAGAGGAGGAUGAAGAUGUCACAGAAACGAAAGCUGACCCUGAAAAUGAACUGCAGGAGGAGGAAGAAAGCAAGGACACAAAGGAAGGCCACCCGCGGGAGCUGACGGAGGAAGAGUAACAGCAGGUUUUGCACUCGGAGAAGUUCCUCAUCUUAUUCGCCUGCAGUAUUUGUGGGAUGGAAAGAGCUUUAGCUGAGGACUCCAACAUCUUCUUCAACUACAGCGGACAAGUCCCGGAGGAUAAAGGGGUGAGAAAGUGAUGCGUAACACAGAUGAUUUCUAUGUUAUAAUGGAGUAUUUUAUCUAUUUAUUAUUUAAUAAUAUUUAUUAUUUAGUUUAUUUUUAUAUUUUGUUUCAAUAUUAAAGGGAUAGUUAACCCAAACAUGAAAAUUUUGCCAUCAUUUACUCACAAUCAUGUCGUUCCAAACCUGUAUAAGUUUCUUUCUUAUGUUGAACAUAAAAGAGGAUAUUUUGAAGAAUGCUGGUAAUCAAACAGUUGAAGGACCCCAUUGACUUCUAUAGUAUUUCUUUCCCUACUAUGGAAGUCAAUGGGGGGCCAAACUGUUGGGUUCUUCAAAAUUCUUCAAAAUAACUUCAUUUGUUUUCAACAUAAGAAAGAAACUGAUACUGGUUUGGAACGACAUGAGGGUGAGUAAAUGAUGACAAAGUUUUCAUUUUUGGGUGAACUAUUCCUUAAAGGAUUACUUUUAACAACAGUUAUAAAUUAUAAAUGGUUAAUUACUAAUGGUUAUAUUAUUGCAAAUUUGAUUGUUGUGAAAUGAAAUUCAUGUGAAUGUGGACCACAAUAACAUCC
ensembl:lncRNA